CCGAUGGCGACCGGCGCACGGGUGAGUAACACGUAUCCAACCUGCCGAUAACUCGGGGAUAGCCUUUCGAAAGAAAGAUUAAUACCCGAUGGCAUAAUUAGACCGCAUGGUCUUAUUAUUAAAGAAUUUCGGUUAUCGAUGGGGAUGCGUUCCAUUAGGCAGUUGGUGAGGUAACGGCUCACCAAACCUUCGAUGGAUAGGGGUUCUGAGAGGAAGGUCCCCCACAUUGGAACUGAGACACGGUCCAA
rnacentral:rRNA from 1 species